AUAAUUAUAAAAGUUAAAAUAAAUAAAAUAUUGAUUAUUAUAAUUAUAAAUCAAGAUAAUGAAUGAAGGGGUAAAAUUAAAGGUCAAAAGAUCCGAAACAUUCCACCAUCUCUACAGCCCUAUGCCAGUUUUUAUUUUUUCUUCUUCUUUUUCUUCUAUUACAUCAAUGGACCUCUUUCAUAUGCAACCGUUGCAGUACCAUCGUCCACCAUCGAACUACGCAGUCAACCAAUAAUGAAGGGAAAAGGAACACCCAGGCCCAACACCCAAAAGGUACUGCAAUCGAUUCGUAUCUGAUAAAGAAGUCAUUGAGGUUCUGAUACACGAAGAAAGUGGUUCAAAGGGAGAGUGAUUAAAGAUUUAGUGAAGUCACCACAAGUUGCCAUGAGCAGAGUGCAUUCUUUCUUUUGGCAAAGAAUACAAGUGGAUCUAUGAAUAUAUUUCCCGGGAAACGAAUGUGAGCCCAGGAUAUCAUGGCCACUACUGGAAUUCAUUGGAAUGUUGUAUUGUUUGACAAACCUUACGGUCAUGAAGUAUAUACUCUCAACGGACAACAAAAAAAGGUUAAUUGAUGUUGCACAUUUUCAGUGUGUUUUUUUGUGAUACAUUCAUUGAACUUGUCCUCCUGGUUACUAGUAACCUUAUGGGUUUUUUUUUUCUUUUGCAUCAAAUUUCAGUUAUUCAUAAAGAGGCAGGCAAAGUUUAUGACCGAGUUCCGGAUGUCUAUUGCAGAUCUCAUCAUUGUAGUUGUUAGUUUAACUUAGUUUGCAACUAUUGUUUGAAUGAUAUUGUACAUAAAUUCACCAUGUAUUUAAUUUACUGUGCAACAAUUAAUUGUACUGGCUACUAGUAUGUACAAUUUAACAAUCAAUUAUUAUAUAUUUGUUUUUUAU